CUGGCAGGCCGAGCGGCCGCUUUUACGGCAAGCGAUUGUCGUAGAGGAGGAAAGUCCGAGCUUUUAAGAGCAGGGUGCCUCGUAACGCGAGGGGUUCGCAAGAACACGGAAAGCGCCACAGAAAACACACAGCCGUAAGCAAUUACGGCAAAGGUGAAAUGGUGGUGUAAGAGACCACCGCUUCGAUGGCAACAUCGAAGGCACGGCAAGCCCCACCCAAAAGAAAGGCCAAGCAGGAGAGAUGAAGUUGCUCGCUUCGACAAAUCUCCGGGUAGGCCGCUUGAGGUUUGACGCGAGUCAAAUCCCAGAGAAAUGGCCGCUGCCCGUAUGGGAACAGAACUCGGCUUAUAGGCCUGCCGGUAUU
rnacentral:RNase_P_RNA from 1 species